GACGCUGGCGGCAGGCCUACACAUGCAAGUCGAGCGCACCUUCGGGUGAGCGGCGGACGGGUGAGUAACGCGUGGGAACGUGCCCUUCUCUGCGGAAUAGCCACUGGAAACGGUGAGUAAUACCGCAUACGCCCUUCGGGGGAAAGAUUUAUCGGAGAAGGAUCGGCCCGCGUUAGAUUAGGUAGUUGGUGGGGUAAUGGCCUACCAAGCCUACGAUCUAUAGCUGGUUUGAGAGGAUGAUCAGCCACACUGGGACUGAGACACGGCCCAGACUCCUACGGGAGGCAGCAGUGGGGAAUCUUAGACAAUGGGCGCAAGCCUGAUCUAGCCAUGCCGCGUGAGUGAUGAAGGCCUUAGGGUCGUAAAGCUCUUUCGCUGGGGAAGAUAAUGACUGUCCCAGUAAAGAAACCCCGGCUACUCCGUGCCAGCAGCCGCGGUAAUACNGAGGGGGUUAGCCGUUG
rnacentral:rRNA from 1 species